rnacentral:miRNA from 1 species
UUCUGGUUUGUCUGGGACUGAGGGGUUUCUUGAGACAUAGGAGCAGGAAAGCCCUAGGAAAACUGGGACAGUUG